UACGUAGGGUGCGAGCGUUAAUCGGAAUUACUGGGCGUAAAGCGUGCGCAGGCGGUCUGUUAAGACCGAUGUGAAAUCCCCGGGCUUAACCUGGGAACUGCAUUGGUGACUGGCAGGCUAGAGUAUGGCAGAGGGGGGUAGAAUUCCACGUGUAGCAGUGAAAUGCGUAGAGAUGUGGAGGAAUACCGAUGGCGAAGGCAACCCCCUGGGCCAAUACUGACGCUCAUGCACGAAAGCGUGGGGAGCAAACAGG
rnacentral:rRNA from 1 species